rnacentral:rRNA from 1 species
GGGCCCGCACAAGCGGUGGAGCAUGUGGUUUAAUUCGAUGAUACGCGAGGAACCUUACCAGGGCUUAAAUGGGAGAUGACAGGGGCAGAGACGCCCUUUUCUUCGGACAUCUUUCAAGGUGCUGCAUGGUUGUCGUCAGCUCGUGCCGUGAGGUGUCAGGUUAAGUCCUAUAACGAGCGCAACCCCUACCGUUAGUUGCCAGCAGUUCGGCUGGGCACUCUAUGGAAACUGCCCGUGAUAAGCGGGAGGAAGGUGUGGAUGACGUCAAGUCCUCAUGGCCCUUACGGGUUGGGCUACACACGUGCUACAAUGGUAGUGACAAUGGGUUAAUCCCAAAAGCUAUCUCAGUUCGGAUUGUCGUCUGCAACUCGACGGCAUG